CAGAACACCUCAGGUGAGCAACCUGGAAAGCUGAUCUGAAACACAGGCAUAGAAAUGGAAGAGGAAGCCUUAAAUAGAAAGGAAUGAUGGGGGUGGAGUACACUACACAAAUAAAUAAAACAAAAGUCAUCUGCUAUUGAUCCAUGGAGUUUGAGGACUGUCGUGGUGCUCAUGUUGUAUGCAGCCGGAGCCUAAAAGAUGGUGCCGGGCUCCAAUACACCGUCGCCGUAAAUAAUACCACUGCGCAGGCGCUAGCCUGAAUCUGGCGCCAACCCCUCCCAAGCGGGUGCAUGCAAAUUAAG
rnacentral:lncRNA from 1 species